GAUGAACGCUGGCGGUGUGCCUAAUACAUGCAAGUCGAGCGAACAGACGAGGAGCUUACUCCUCUGACGUUAGCGGCGGACGGGUGAGUAACACGUGGAUAACCUACCUAUAAGACUGGGAUAACUUCGGGAAACCGGAGCUAAUACCGGAUAACAUGUUGAACCGCAUGGUUCAACAGUGAAAGACGGUCUUGCUGUCACUUAUAGAUGGAUCCGCGUCGCAUUAGCUAGUUGGUAAGGUAACGGCUUACCAAGGCAACGAUGCGUAGCCGACCUGAGAGGGUGAUCGGCCACACUGGAACUGAGACAAGGUCCAGACUCCUACGGGAGGCAGCAGUAGGGAAUCUUCCGCAAUGGGCGAAAGCCUGACGGGGCAACGCCGCGUGAGUGAAGAAGGUCUUCGGAUCGUAAAACUCUGUUAUUAGGGAAGAACAAAUGUGUAAGUAACUAUGCACGUCUUGACGGUACCUAAUCAGAAAGCCACGGCUAACUACGUG
rnacentral:rRNA from 1 species